UGGCGACCGGCGCACGGGUGAGUAACGCGUAUCCAACCUGCCCUUUACUAUGGGACAGCCCGUCGAAAGGCGGAUUAAUACCGUAUGUUGUCAUGUUGAUGCAUAUUUUCAUGACCAGAGGCUUCGGCCGGUAAAGGAUGGGGAUGCGUCUGAUUAGCUUGCCGGCGGGGUAACGGCCCACCGGGGCGACGAUCAGUAGGGGUUCUGAGAGGAAGGUCCCCCACAUUGGAACUGAGACACGGUCCAAACUCCUACGGAAGGCAGCAG
rnacentral:rRNA from 1 species